rnacentral:tRNA from 1 species
GGUCGGAUGGUGUAGUUGGUUAUCACGUCAGUCUAACAUCUCUAUCGAGGAGUUCACUGAAGGUCGGGAGAUCGAGCCUCCCUCUGAUCA